rnacentral:rRNA from 1 species
UGGAGCUUGCUCCAGGGAUUAGUGGCGAACGGUAGAGUAACACGUGAGUAACCUGCCCUUGACUCUGGGAUAAGCGCUGGAAACGGCGUCUAAUACCGGAUACGAGCUUCAGCCGCAUGGCUAGGAGUUGGAAAGAAUUUCGGUCAAGGAUGGACUCGCGGCCUAUCAGCUAGUUGGUGAGGUAAUGGCUCACCAAGGCGACGACGGGUAGCCGGCCUGAGAGGGUGACCGGCCACACUGGGACUGAGACACGGCCCAGACUCCUACGGGAGGCAGCAGUGGGGAAUAUUGCACAAUGGGCGCAAGCCUGAUGCAGCAACGCCGCGUGAGGGAUGACGGCCUUCGGGUUGUAAACCUCUUUUAGUAGGGAAGAAGCGAAAGUGACGGUACCUGCAGAAAAAGCACCGGCUAACUACGUGCCAGCAGCCGCGGUAAUACGUAGGGUGCAAGCGUUGUCCGGAAUUAUUGGGCGUAAAGAGCUCGUAGGCGGUUUGUCGCGUCUGCUGUGAAAUCUGGGGGCUCAACCCCCAGCCUGCAGUGGGUACGGGCAGACUAGAGUGCGGUAGGGGAGAUUGGAAUUCCUGGUGUAGCGGUGGAAUGCGCAGAUAUCAGGAGGAACACCGAUGGCGAAGGCAGAUCUCUGGGCCGUAACUGACGCUGAGGAGCGAAAGCAUGGGGGAGCGAACAGGAUUAGAUACCCUGGUAGUCCAUGCCGUAAACGUUGGGAACUAGAUGUGGGGGCCAUUCCACGGUCUCCGUGUCGCAGCUAACGCAUUAAGUUCCCCGCCUGGGGAGUACGGCCGCAAGGCUAAAACUCAAAGGAAUUGACGGGGGCCCGCACAAGCGGCGGAGCAUGCGGAUUAAUUCGAUGCAACGCGAAGAACCUUACCAAGGCUUGA